rnacentral:lncRNA from 1 species
GUAGAGAACUGACUUGAGCAUCGGAGGGUCUUGUCGGAGCAACCCUAACUCCGGUUUAAACUUUUUUUGCAGGUCCCGACGGCGAUCGCGACACCCUCGACUCUAGCUUCUCCGACGCAGGCGGAUUUUCGCACCAACAGGAUUGACGCUAGAGGAAGGGUCUGUAUCUUCGCAGUACCCUUGUUCUUAAAGGAGCGCUCAACGGGACCGCCUCCGGUCAUCUUUUCUGACAUCCUCUCCUCCUUCCCCCACUAGAUCUUCGCCCGAUGCCUCCCCGCAAAGCAUCCGCACGGCGACCCAUGGCCUCCGCAGUCAGAUCUCAGGCUUCGGCCUUGCCUCCAGUUUCUCAGGCUCCUCC